rnacentral:rRNA from 1 species
GAUGAACGCUAGCGAUAGGCUUAACACAUGCAAGUCGAGGGGCAGCACAAGGUAGCUUGCUAUCUGGGUGGUGACCGGCGCACGGGUACGUAACGCGUAUGCAACUUGCCCUAUACAGGAGGAUAACCCGUCGAAAGACGGACUAAUACUGCGUAUGCUCACAACUUGGCAUCAAGUGGUGAGGAAAGAAAUUCGGUAUAGGAUAGGCAUGCGUCCCAUUAGCUUGUUGGUGAGGUAACGGCUCACCAAGGCAACGAUGGGUAGGGGAACUGAGAGGUUUAUCCCCCACACUGGUACUGAGACACGGACCAGACUCCUACGGGAGGCAGCAGUGAGGAAUAUUGGUCAAUGGGCGCGAGCCUGAACCAGCCAAGUCGCGUGAAGGAUGACUGUCUUAUGGAUUGUAAACUUCUUUUAUACGGGAAUAACAAGAGUCACGUGUGACUCCCUGCAUGUACCGUAUGAAUAAGCAUCGGCUAACUCCGUG